UAAACAUGAUCUGAGAUACGAAGAUGGACUCUAUUGCCUCUGAUGGACUAGAAGACAACGUGGAAAAUAAAAGAGUAAAUAAGGGGUGUCUCCAUGGGGUUGCUCACAGUAGGAAGGAGAGAACAUACGGAUUCAGGAAAGCCAUUUCACAUGCGUGGAAAUAGAAAUGGCAGCAAGGAACCAUCCUCAGAGGAGGGAAUUUGAAGAAAAGGGCGAAAGGAGGUAAAGACAUGAAGCAUAAGCAAAUCAGACCGAGGGAGCAGGCAAAGAGCAGGAUGAAGGAGAUGACACAGCUGCAGAUCACACCCUGCAAGCAGAGGACCUGGCUGGAGAGGGAAGGGGGAGCCUGGCAGCAUUCCCCCCAAGCAAAGGGGCUUCAUGGCUCCUCACCUACGAGCUCCUAAGGAAAUGCAGGUAGGAAGGAGGGACACGUGUCCAUUUUAUAACUUCACAUUGUUUACUACUUCUGUGAAAUUUUUCAAAAUACACACGUGACACUCUGGGAAGGAAGCCAAAGCAGUUUCAAGCUUCGAUGGCCCUCUGUGCAUGCCAUGGGCUGCUGCUCCCCUCCAGAGAGGGGCAACCACAGUGGAUUUUUCUGCUUCUCCCUGCAAAAAAGGACCCAGAAAAGGGGCCCCAGGCACCCAGGCAGAGCAACAUGGGAUUUCAAAUGUGCACUGAUUUCUGCCUCAAAAAGAAGGUGUUGCAUUGCAUCCCAUAGUUGAACACAACACCUCACCCAUGAUCCAUCCGUGCUGGGGACCUUCCACGACCAGGAGCUGGAGAGCGUUCAGAUAUUCAGGUAGAUGCCCCUUCUCCUCUGCCACUACUUGAGCUGAAGCAGGGAGCAGUGUCUCCAAAGCCAUGCUCCAUGCAGGCAGACUGUACAGGAAACGAAGGCUGGGAUUCUUCUGCCUGCUCCGUCAGAUGUGCCAAGCAAUUCGUGGAAUUCCAGAGGCAUUUGUCCAACAGGAGGAAUAUUUGACUCCAGCUUCCUGAUCUGUACAUGAGGAAAAAGUAUUUCUGUGAUAGUCUCCAGUUCAGCAGACCUGAAGCAGAGGAUUUAUUACACACAAGAUCAAGAAGCCUCUCCUUUGAUCACUUAUACAGCAGACUGUGAAUGAAGGCAUUCAGAGCCCAGCUCCAGCACACUCUGAAAUAUUCAUGGACACAGCCAAGAACAAUAACCAAGCAUUGGUUGGAGAGCAGAUCCUCUGCUGGGGGACAUCACACGCAACAUGGUUUGCUUUGGUGGGGAAACAACAGUUUACACAAGCUAAAAAUGUAAUCUUUUUGCACAUGGAGCUCUUCUUUGUAAACCACACUUUGAUACACAUCUGUGAGCCAGAUAAUAAACACUUUAGAUAAAUCACUAGAAGGUUUAGAGAGCUCUAUGUCGUCUCUCAGACUUUCAGUUUAGAGCAGAGGCCAGAAGUCAGCACUGAUUACCCCUCAGUACAACUAACCAUUAUAAGUAUCAAAGUUGCACUCAUUUGGACAAUUUCUUGAAACUUUCUGUUCAGUUUCUGAAGAGCUCUCUUCAGACCUCUGCUUUUUUUAUUCUGUGGUACUUAGACACUUACACCCCAAGUUUGAGUAGGGCUGGAUAUCCCACCGAGCCUUGAAACAUCAAAAAAGGACUGCCAGGACAUUUCUUUCUCCUGUAAAUCAAACAGACAGCUCCAUGAUGCCCACAGCAAGUUUUCCCCAUGGCCCAAGCCCUCAUUCAGCCAUGGCCAGAACUGGGACUGCAUCUGCAAGUUAUUGUCACCUUGAAAGGAAUCAUUCACACAGCUGAAGCUCUAGGGGUUUUAAGGUGCAGGGAAGUCCCAGUCAGCUGGAGAUACCCAAGGGCAUCAAUAUUUGCCAAGAAGUUUUCUUUGACACUUGGCUGAGGUGUAGUUCUGAAGUGAUCUUCUCAUAAGAGUUACCACUGCUCCUAAUUACAGCCAAGAUUUUUCAGAAGUAUAUAAAAUAUGAGGUGGUGGACAGCUUCCAACAGAGGACCCGCUCUCUCUGGGAAGAUCGAGCCGUAGUUUGGUCUCCGUAACGUUCACCAUCUGUCCCCUCUCCGUGCUGAUGCCUCUGUUCCCCAAGACAAAUUUUGCUGCUUGUACAUAUGCAGGAUGCACCAGAA